GCGUCGUAAACUUUGCGAAACAUGGCGUCUUUUCGGAUCCGAAUGUUGAUACGGUUCGGUAAGGGUCGCCGCCGAACUUUUUAACGAUCGUAACCAACGAUCGAAACGUCUUGAUGUAGAAAUUUAUCGAUGCAGUGUGUACCGCUUAUUGCGUCUCUUGGCGCAUAUACAUUUGAAUUUGAAUUAACUGACUUUGAAAUUGAGUAACCAAUGGCCCAGGUACUCUACAGGAUCAGCCGGUUUCGUUGCUAUGAUUUCGCGAAG